rnacentral:rRNA from 1 species
UACGGAGGGGGCUAGCGUUGUUCGGAAUUACUGGGCGUAAAGCGCACGUAGGCGGCUUUGUAAGUUAGAGGUGAAAGCCCGGAGCUCAACUCCGGAAUUGCCUUUAAGACUGCAUCGCUUGAACAUCGGAGAGGUAAGUGGAAUUCCGAGUGUAGAGGUGAAAUUCGUAGGUAUUCGGAAGAACACCAGUGGCGAAGGCGACUUACUGGACGAUUGUUGACGCUGAGGUGCGAAAGCGUGGGGAGCAAACAGG